CCUACGGGAGGCAGCAGUGGGGAAUAUUGCACAAUGGGGGAAACCCUGAUGCAGCGACGCCGCGUGAGUGAAGAAGUAAUUCGUUAUGUAAAGCUCUAUCAGCAGGGAAGAAAAUGACGGUACCUGAGUAAGAAGCCACGGCUAACUACGUGCCAGCAGCCGCGGUAAUACGUAGGGGGCAAGCGUUAUCCGGAUUUACUGGGUGUAAAGUGAGCGUAGACGGCAGUGCAAGUCUGGAGUGAAAGGCGGGGGCUCAACCCCCGGACUGCUCUGGAAACUGUACGGCUGGAGUGCAGGAGAGGUAAGUGGAAUUCCUAGUGUAGCGGUGAAAUGCGUAGAUAUUAGGAGGAACACCAGUGGCGAAGGCGGCUUACUGGACUGUAACUGACGUUGAGGCUCGAAAGCGUGGGGAGCAAACAGGAUUAGAUACCCCAGUAGUC
rnacentral:rRNA from 1 species